ACCUCGUGGAGCUUUAGGUGUUUUCGCUCAAUAAACACUCACAACGCCCAGUCUGGGAAUCGAAACCGCGAUCCUACGACCGCGAGUCCGCUACCCUAACCACUGGGCCAUUGCGUCUCCUCUUAAUGGAAUAUGUGUUUCGCACUAGAAAUUUCUGAUGAUAUACGGAUCUAUUUCAAUCGUUUCUAAUUAUAAAAGCCAUGGACUUCUCGAUCUAGACUUAAUGGAAUGACGAAAAACCACAAGGCUAUAACAGUAUUCUGCGGUAGAUCUGGUUGUACAGAAGCCGUAGUGAUGGUCAUAGAAAGGAGUCAAGACUGCAGAUGAUAAACAACGGAAUCGUUUACAACCGUUUCCAUUACUUUUGAGAUGAAGAAAGAGAUGUCGAUACAACAGUUAGAUUACAGAGAUUAUCGUACGACAUUGGCAUUACAGGCAUCAUCAUUAUUCCUCCACUAUAACCUUGUUUAUGUAAUUCUACGAGCUGAAGUACCCAGCGCUGCCUGAGUUAAUUACUCAGAGAAUUAACAGUAGUAAAUCUUUUUGAAACAAACACCCAGCAAAAUUUCCAAC